AAUAGUUCCACCACCUUUAGAAUUCCUUAGAUUCAAAGAGAAAUACAUAUCACUCAACAGAGUAGGAACAGGAUUCCCAAUCAAGAAAAGUCUAAUGGCAUUACCAUCAACAAAAUCGUCAAUGUUAGGGAACAAAGCUAAUCCAUAGAUGAGCAACACAAAGAUAGCUUCAAAAGCAUCCACAUUACCGGCUUAAGCAAAAAUGGUAGCUUCCUUGAUGAGGAAAUCUGAUAGCAACCCAAAUAACCCUCCUUUC
rnacentral:lncRNA from 1 species